AUGGGUGGAGUACAGUGUGUGGAUUUGUCAGCAUCUGCGUGGAGUCUGGAGCUGCAAACUUCAACCUCUGUAGAGAGCCAGAGGCCUGGGGGCCUGGUGGUUGUUAAAGUACUCAGUGAAGCAGGCAGUUUAAUAUGCAAUGAGGAGUUUCACCUACAUCUAGAGGAACAGAUCCCUGCAAUAAUUGCUCAGUCAGUGAUGGGGACUGAUGCUAGCUCUCAAAAUGCUUCAGCUGCAGCGGUCUGA
rnacentral:lncRNA from 1 species